rnacentral:rRNA from 1 species
AAUCCAUAGGUUAAUGAGGCGAACCGGGGGAACUGAAACAUCUAAGUACCCCGAGGAAAAGAAAUCAACCGAGAUUCCCCCAGUAGCGGCGAGCGAACGGGGAGGAGCCCAGAGCCUGAAUCAGCAUGUGUGUUAGUGGAAGCGUCUGGAAAGGCGCGCGAUACAGGGUGACAGCCCCGUACACAAAAGCGCAUGUGCUGUGAGCUCGAUGAGUAGGGCGGGACACGUGGUAUCCUGUCUGAAUAUGGGGGGACCAUCCUCCAAGGCUAAAUACUCCUGACUGACCGAUAGUGAACCAGUACCGUGAGGGAAAGGCGAAAAGAACCCCGGCGAGGGGAGUGAAAAAGAACCUGAAACCGUGUACGUACAAGCAGUGGGAGCACAGGUUUACCUGUGUGACUGCGUACCUUUUGUAUA